UACGUAGGGACCGAGCGUUGUCCGGAAUUAUUGGGCGUAAAGAGCGUGUAGGCGGCCAUGCAGGUCAGCUGUGAAAACUCGAGGCUCAACCUCGAGACGUCGGUUGAAACCGCAUGGCUAGAGUCCGGAAGAGGAGAGUGGAAUUCCCGGUGUAGCGGUGAAAUGCGCAGAUAUCGGGAAGAACACCCGUGGCGAAGGCGGCUCUCUGGGACGGUACUGACGUUGAGACGCGAAAGCGUGGGGAGCGAACAGG
rnacentral:rRNA from 1 species